rnacentral:rRNA from 1 species
GAUGAACGCUGGCGGCGUGCCUAAUACAUGCAAGUCGAGCGAACAGACGAGGAGCUUGCUCCUCUGACGUUAGCGGCGGACGGGUGAGUAACACGUGGAUAACCUACCUAUAAGACUGGGAUAACUUCGGGAAACCGGAGCUAAUUCCGGAUAAUAUAUUGAACCGCAUGGUUCAAUAGUGAAAGACGGUUUUGCUGUCACUUAUAGAUGGAUCCGCGCCGCAUUAGCUAGUUGGUAAGGUAACGGCUUACCAAGGCAACGAUGCGUAGCCGACCUGAGAGGGUGAUCGGCCACAGUGGAACUGAGACACGGUCCAGACUCCUACGGGAGGCAGCAGUAGGGAAUCUUACGCAAAGGGCGAAAGCUUGACGGAGCAACGCCGCGUGAGUGAUGAAGGUCUUCGGAUCGUAAAACUCUGUUAUUAGGGAAGAACAAAUGUGUAAGUAACUAUGCACGUCUUGACGGUACCUAAUCAGAAAGCCACGGCUAACUACGUG